rnacentral:RNase_P_RNA from 1 species
AACUGCCAGCAGCGGGUGCCAGACCUUCAAAGGGAUGGCGCUCAGGAAAGUCCGCCCACCGUUCCCGCAGGGGUUCAUGGCCGCUCAUGGGAGUGAGACUUCGAAAGGGGUGGCGACGGCUCAGAAACGGUACCACUGUCCAUCGUUGAUGCCUUUGGCGUCAGAACCGCAUGUCUAUGACAGGUGGUUCGUUACGGAUGAGGAAGGGAAGGCGAUGGUGACAUCUGCCGAGUAAACUUCCGACGAGAUGGACAGAGAGGAUGAAACGGCGAGUCCCGGCCGGUGCAAGUCCUUUGUGACGCUAAGUUGAAUGCUGGUGCAGACCAUCGUCAUGUCUCGUGCGUGGUUUGGGUCUGACAGAAGGCGGCUUAUCGUU